rnacentral:rRNA from 1 species
AACGAACGCUGGCGGCAGGCCUAACACAUGCAAGUCGAACGCCCUAGCAAUAGGGAGUGGCAGACGGGUGAGUAACGCGUGGGAACCUUCCCAAUGGUACGGAAUAGCCCAGGGAAACUUGGAGUAAUACCGUAUACGCCCGUAAGGGGAAAGAUUUAUCGCCAUUGGAUGGGCCCGCGUCGGAUUAGCUAGUUGGUGAGGUAACGGCUCACCAAGGCGACGAUCCGUAGCUGGUCUGAGAGGACGAUCAGCCACACUGGGACUGAGACACGGCCCAGACUCCUACGGGAGGCAGCAGUGGGGAAUAUUGGACAAUGGGCGCAAGCCUGAUCCAGCCAUGCCGCGUGAGUGAUGAAGGCCUUAGGGUUGUAAAGCUCUUUUGGCGGGGACGAUAAUGACGGUACCCGCAGAAUAAGCCCCGGCUAACUUCGUGCCAGCCGCCGCCGUAACAC